GAGUGUGUAGCUCAGUGGUAGAGUGCAUGUUUAGCAUGCACAAAGUCCUGGGUUCAAUUCCCAGUCCCUCCA
rnacentral:tRNA from 1 species